rnacentral:lncRNA from 1 species
UCCCCUUUCUUGAUAUUCUUUUCUUUUUCUUCUUCCUGUUGAAUUUCUUCAUAAAAUUAAGAACACCAAGCACCUGUUUCCAUGUUUCAAUCAUAGGAACUUUAAUCUCCAAUUUCUUGAAGAUCUCCAUAAAGCUCAAAAAUUUAUUUUCCUUCCUAUGAUAUUUCUUUUUAUGAGGAAGGGGUUUUUCACAAGAUCUUUUCUUUUUACCUCUCUUCCUUUUCUUCUCUCUCCUCAACUUUCCUCUUUUCUUUUUUCUUCUUUUCUUCUUCAUUUUUGAAUAUUUUUUCUUUUUUUCUUUUUGCUUAACCACU